UACGGAGAGUGCAAGCAUUAAUCGGAAUUAUUGGGCGUAAAGGGCGCGUAGGCGGGUUAGCAAGUCAGAUGUGAAAUUCCGAAGCUCAACUUCGGAGCUGCAUUUGAAACUACUAGUCUUUGAGGGUUGACGGAGAAAACGGAAUUCCACGUGUAGCGGUGAAAUGCGUAGAUAUGUGGAAGAACACCUGUGGCGAAAGCGGUUUUCUAGUUGAUACCUGACGCUGAGGCGCGAGAGCAAGGGGAGCAAACAGG
rnacentral:rRNA from 1 species